CCCGCAGAUACCUCCUGACGCCCUCCUCCCCAUCUCCGAUUCCUCCUCCGCCCGCGAUUCCUUCUCUCCUCGCCGCAUCACCGUCCCCGUGCCCUUCUCCAAACUCCGCCAUCCCCGUCCCGUACUCCCUCCCUUGGAAAAGAUCAAUUGGAGGAGUAAUUCCGGCUUCAUCCGGUGGUGGCGAUGCCGGAAAAGAUCGAUUUUUUUUCGACGGGAGGAGUAAUUCCGGCUUGAUCCGGUGGUGCCGAUGCCGGAUCCUGCGACGGCGCCGACGCGAGCCACCAAGGGCCGUGGACUCCCUCACCGGCUGCGAUUCCGCCAAACCCUGUUGUCUCGGCGUCCCAGCGACCAUCUCCGAGGCGGAUAAAAUCGUUACUUUCGGUAGCAGCCCGAGGAGAAGGCCCGGACAAAUCCUCGGAGCAGUAAGCCCGCCGCUCCAGUACCUUUCCUCACCGCCGUCGUCAUCAAGAUCACAAGAGCAGGACUCUUUGGACGGUGCUGAAGAUUGACCGGUUGGAGUCUAUUGAUUUGGGUAUCCAGGAGUAUCCUACUAGUUACACGGAGAAUUGAUGAACUAAUUUGGCGGAUUCACGAGGGAAAUAGGUUUUCUGAAGUUUCUUGGUCCUUACUACAUGGUUCCAAUUACCAGGAGAAGAAAAGUUGGCAGAAUCUGUGGUCAUUAUAUUUUUAUUCAAUUGGAAAGAGUGAAAUGGUUGCAAUAGAAAUCUGCAUUUAAGUCUUCAGCUCUCAUAUUCUUUUUGUGGUUUAUUUAUUUAUACACUCAGAGAGAGGACUGGUUAGCUUAGGCCAUCGGAGUAUCUGUUUGAUUGAUGUGAUGAAUUUCAAUUCUGCCUUGGAGUAUUUAUUUAUUGAGCUUUACCUGUCUUUUUCUCAGGUUCUCUUGGUGGUCGGAAUUUUGCAAGGUGAAGUUGGUCCUAUGAUUUCUGUCAUGAAAAUUGAAAUGACACGUUUGGAGUCUUGUUCGGAUGUCGGUGGUUUACAUGUUCCAAUUCAAGAUAUUAAAGAACCAGUUGAACUUCCCGAGCUAUAUGAGGACAUUGGAUUUAGGCCUCUCAAGGUAGUCAUACUGUAUGGGGAACAGGGAAAGCUCUACUUGCAAAGCUCGGAAGGUGGAUUAGCCGGGGGAGGAACCAAGAAGCUUUAGGCCCAAGAACUUCGUGUGGACCAUGACCUCCUCAGUGUUGCCAAGCACAACAUUCUCCACUGGUAGGCAUUCGUUGACGAGAAGCUUGGCCAAACCCAGUAGGUAUGCGUGGAAUUAUUGAGCUCAGGUUUUUUGGGAUUAAGAUUCUUACACCAAAGGAUCACUAUAUGCCAAGACUUCGAGGAUGAUAAGAGCGGAAGAUUUGGAUUUAAUUGUUAGGCUCGAUGGCUCAAAAUACGACAAGGAAUCAACUGAAAGAGGAACAUGUAUGAAUUGUACGGAAGAACUACUAUAUGCUAUUAAGAAUAAUUCGGUGUCUAAGAAACAUGGCGAUAUUAUAAUAAUCUCUCGGAUCCAUAUGUAUUUCAUUACUAGAUACAUCCGUUUGGCAUAAGUUUCUUUUCAUUCUGAACCUAAUAAUAUCUCCAUGCUUUUAGAGGUUAUUUAGCUAAUACUUCCUCCGUCUGGUAAUACUUGUCAGAGAAAUGGAUGUAUCUAGACAUAUUUUGGCUCAUUGAUGGCAUGUACUCCCUCUGUUCCUAAAUAUAAGUUUUUCUAGAGAUUCCACCAA